ensembl:lncRNA
GUCAGUGUUAGGCAAGCGCUGUUGCUAUGGCGACAAGUACCCGGAGAAAAAGUGGCCAGCCGGUCUGGUAGGGGCGCAGAAGACCCAGAUGCUGAUGCUCUGCCUUCAGGGAAACCCCGCCUUCCUACGACCCCUUUUUAUUUGUCGAGAAACGGGUCAUUAGGCUGCAUAGCCCAAAGGCGAUGUCUCUAUCCCCUGGAAAAGGCAACCAUAUUUCCCAGCCAUCCGUGCGUCGUUAGAUGCUGGACUCUUAAUUCCCAGCUUUUUCCAAGGAGGGCGCCAGUAGGGAGGAAGGGGGGAAAAGGAACUGACCUAAUUGGCCAGGGACCAAAAAGACUAGGGCGGCUCACCCACCUAAGAAACGAAGUACAAGACUGCUCUGCAACUUCGCUGGCUUGGCAUUUCAGCUAAUCUGCGUGCGGUAACGGUCCCUGGGUAGAAGUUCUCGCGACAUCUUAACCACUGGCCGGGAUUCCCUAGAAACCAAUGAAAGCUUGCUGCAGCGCGGUUCCUCCCAGCCUUCCCAUCCCUACCAAGUUGUUACACAGACUCGAAAUCCCAGUGUUUUGACUUCAGCCCCGGGGUUCUUUGCGGCUUCUGUCCUUAGAUGCACACACCCCUCAAAGACUUUAAUGGAGGCCUUUGGGAAGAUUGUUUCUGCUGGUUUCCAUGUCUCUCCACACUACCAGGUCGGCUUCCAAGCUAAUCUGCCGUGAACUUUGUAAAAAUUUGACCACAUCACUCCCCUAUUAAAAACUCUGCCGUAUAGCAGCAUGUCCUGUCUGUAAAACUUAACUCCUUAGUUGGCAUUCAAGACCUUCCACUUGUGUGGUUUCAACUCUGUGCCUCUUAAAUGUUUUGUUUUCGUAACUUGGAAUGCUCCCCACCCCCAAUCCAAAUACCUUAAGCGUUGCUUCCUCCCAGAAGUCUUCCCUAAACUUCCAACCUGGGUUAGAACCCCCUUCCUCUGAGCCCUUAACACAUCAAGAGCUUCUUUAGGAUAAAGAGACACUCAACAACAGCAUUACCUACUGCGUGCUGGGUAUAGGGCAUAGAAAGAUGAACAAGACAAAACUUCUGCCCUCAGUUUCUAUGCAGAAGAUAAACAUUGAACAAAUAUUUUCAAGUGUGGUAAAGACUACGCAGGAAGCUUGCAGGUAGGAGAGAAUCCUACAUGAUCCAAUGCCUCUUCAAAGAAGUGGCAAUUAUGUUAAGACCUAAAGAAUGAUGGAUGCCGGAUGGUGUGUUCUCUGUACCAAGUCCUUAGGGAUUCAGGAGCUCAGGUCUGAGGAAGAGCAAAACUUUGACCAGAUGUAAUCCCAACAUCCAAAUUAUGCUCUGGGUUCUGCAGACUGAGGAUCAGGCUUCACUCCUGGCUCUGCUACUGAUUUCCUCAUGUAACCUCAGUUCUGAGAGAUAAUUUGGUGCAACAGAAACAAAAUGAGCUUUGGAAUUUGUUACUUACCAGCUAUGUGACUUUGAGCAAAUUACUUAAGCUCUCUAAGCUUUUAGUUCCCUCAUUUGUCAAAGGAAGAUAAUAUUAUUGAUCCCCACAGGGUUGUUGUAAGGACACUAGGGAUUGUAAGCACUUACUGAAUGUUAUUUCUCUUUCUUUCAUCAUUUCUGAAUUCACAUUGCCCCAUUCAUAAAAUAGAAUUAGGUAUAUUUUUCAAGAGAAGUGCG